rnacentral:rRNA from 1 species
AAGUCGUAACAAGGUUUCCGUAGGUGAACCUGCGGAAGGAUCAUUACAAAUUGAGUGACGUUGAGGUUUACCCCUCACACGUUUUCAAAACCCCUUGACAAACCCAAAAAACAUAGCUUCGGCAGCGGGUUUCCGGGCGACCUCGAACCGUGAGCCUGCCGGAACACCGAACUAAACCAUUUAUAGCUUUGCCAUUCUGUCUGAAUCUUAAAUCAUUUCGAAUGAUAAUUAAAACUUUCAACAACGGAUCUCUUGGUUCCCGCAUCGAUGAAGAACGCAGCGAAACGCGAUAGUUAAUGUGAAUUGCAGAAUUCAGUGAAUCAUCGAGUCUUUGAACGCACAUUGCGCCCUUUGGUAUUCCGAAGGGCACGUCCGUUUGAGCGUCAUUUCAACAACCUUCGCCGUUGGGAUUUUUUUUCCCUCCGCGCGGUCUUGAGCUCAGACGACCUCCUCACCGAGGCGCUGGCUUCAAAGUUGAACGCUCUGCGGGCCGCUUCGGUUCCCCCUGACAUAGUAAAAUUCUUUAUUCUUGUCUCGAGUACCCGUCGCGCGCUCCGCCUGAACAACAAACCAAGUUAAUCACAGGUUUGACCUCAAAUCGGACGAGGAUACCCGCUGAACUUAAGCAUAUCAAUAAGCGGAGGAAAAGAAACCAACAGGGAUUGCCUCAGUAACGGCGAGUGAAGCGGCAUCAGCUCAAAUUUGAAAUCUGGGGCCUUCGGCUUCCGAGUUGUAAUUUGAAGAGGAUGCUUCGGUUGUGGCCUGGGCCUAAGUUCCUUGGAACAGGACGUCGUAGAGGGUGAGAAUCCCGUACACGGCUGCAGGCUUACUUCCAUGUGUAGCUCCUUCGAAGAGUCGAGUUGUUUGGGAAUGCAGCUCAAAAUGGGUGGUAAAUUUCAUCUAAAGCUAAAUACUGGCGGGAGACCGAUAGCGCACAAGUAGAGUGAUCGAAAGAUGAAAAGCACUUUGAAAAGAGAGUUAAACAGUACGUGAAAUUGUUGAAAGGGAAGCGCUUGCAAUCAGACUCCCUCGCGGUUGAUCAACGUUCCUUCUGGUUCGUGCACUCUGCCGUCUUGGGGGCCAGCAUCGGUUGGUGCGGCGGGACAAAGACUUUGGGAAUGUGGCUCACUCCGGUGAGUGUUAUAGCCCGUUGUGCAAUGCCGCCUGCGCCGACCGAGGUCCGCGGCCUAGUCCCAGGAUGCUGGCUUAAUGAUUGUAAGCGACC